ACUCAAAUAGCUAAGCUUCCAAUAUUCUGCUACAAUUUCCAAGAAGAUCUUCAAUUGUACACAAUCAUCAUCGUCGUUUCCCCGGCCCGUGUGUUGUUGACUUCCAGUGGCUGACGUGAACCUUUUAGUCAUUUCAAAACUCAAAACCAAAUAAUUCGAAAUGGCUUUGCCUACAAAUGAGUCAUAUGCAUCUGUCAAGUCACAAGAGACUGAUUAUGGAUGUGACCAGGGCCUUCUUCAACGUGCACCAGUUACCACUAAUGUGCAUCCACUCGAAACCUCUGAAAGGACUUAUCGCCAAAGGCAAGAGGAACAUCAAAUGAACUUUGCUGUUAAAGCUUAUGGCCUUGGAUUUGGUUUACACCUAAAACAUCAGAGAGCUGCUGUAAGUAUCAUUGCAAAGUA